CGCUCACUCCGUCCCAGCCGGCUCGGCAAUACGGAGGGUGCAAGCCUUAAUCAGAUUGACUUGGCUGAAAGGGCGUGUAGGCGGACGGAUAAGGCAGAGGGGAAAUCCCGGGGCUCAACUCCGGAACAGCAUUUGAAACUGUGAGACUAGAGGGUAGAUGGAGAAAACGGAAUUCCACAAGUAGCGGUGAAAUGCGUAGAUAUGUGGAAGAACACCUGUGGCGAAAGCGGUUUUCUAAUUUAUACCUGACGCUGAGGCGCGAAAGCUAGGGGAGCAAACAGGAUUAGAUACCCCUGUAGUC
rnacentral:rRNA from 1 species